AAUCUGUGGUGCGGGCAUUUCUAGAUCAAUGUUUUCAAAUGUUCCUAAGCCUUGUGAAAACUUUCCCCUUCCAAUUGUCUAAAUACAAAAAUUUCUCUUCUUAGUUG
rfam:Gossypium hirsutum cultivar TM-1 chromosome 12, whole genome shotgun sequence